GACGAACGCUGGCGGCGUGCUUAACACAUGCAAGUCGAACGGAAAGGCCCUGCUUUUGUGGGGUGCUCGAGUGGCGAACGGGUGAGUAACACGUGAGUAACCUGCCCUUGACUUUGGGAUAACUUCAGGAAACUGGGGCUAAUACCGGAUAGGAGCUCCUGCUGCAUGGUGGGGGUUGGAAAGUUUCGGCGGGUGGGGAUGGACUCGCGGCUUAUCAGCUUGCUGGUGGGGGAGUGGCUUACCAAGGCUUUGACGGGUAGCCGGCCUGAGAGGGUGACCGGCGACAUUGGGACUGAGAUACGGCCCAGAGUCCUACGGGAGGCAGCAGUGGGGAAUAUUGCACAAUGGGCGGAAGCCUGAUGCAGCAACGCCGCGUGCGGGAUGACGGCCUUCGGGUUGUAAACCGCUUUCGCCUGUGACGAAGCGUGAGUGACGGUAAUGGGUAAAGAAGCACCGGCUAACUACGUG
rnacentral:rRNA from 1 species